rnacentral:rRNA from 1 species
UACGUAGGGUGCGAGCGUUAAUCGGAAUUACUGGGCGUAAAGCGUGCGCAGGCGGUUCUCCAAGUCCGUUGUGAAAGCCCCGGGCUCAACCUGGGAAUGGCAGUGGAAACUAGGGGACUGGAAUCUGGCAGAGGGGGGUGGAAUGCCGCGUGUAGCAGUGAAAUGCGUAGAGAUGCGGCGGAACACCGAUGGCGAAGGCAGCUGUCUGGACUGAUACUGACACUGAGGCGCGAAAGCGUGGGGAGCAAACAGG